AAGGAGAAGUUACCCUUCCUGGGGCGCAAGCUAAGUGGGCAGGCCUGGGAUGGUGGUGCCUCAGGCCACAGUUCUAAGGAAGGAAGCUACACCAAGGGUGGAAACUCCCGACCACACUUACUUCCUCCUGCGUGCAGCGGUUGGUUUACACUUCAGCCGACUCAAACCGGAUAGUUUCUACAAGGGGAGGCUGAAGAGUCAGAAGAAUGCAGCUGGAAGAGGAAGGAAGAAGGAGGAAGAGUAUGGUGGAGGGGAAUCUGCAGGAUCACAUGGCUAACUCCACGGACUGCGGUGGCUUGGCAAAGCAAGACGUGCCCUCUAAGCAAAACACUGCCGCAAGUGACCGCCAUCAAAACGAAGCAUGCUUGCUGAGGGUGUGAGGUCUGAAUAUGCUUGGUGAAUGUGCCCUCUGGGAUACACUUAGUUAUGUCCAUUUAUUCCUGCUGCCUGUAUGGUGUGUGUUAUUUAAUACUGAAUUUACCGAGUAUUUAUUGUGUCCAUUUGUGUCUUUUAACUAACCUGUGAAGCUUAAGACACAUUUCCA